rnacentral:rRNA from 1 species
AGUAAUCUGUGUCUGAAGGCCUGUGUAAGACGGAGGAGUGGAACGUUGUGCGUAAUUGUGGGGCGGAAAGCGCACGUAGGAGUGUGGUAAAGUCCCAUGUGAAAGCCCUCGGCUUAACCAAGUAAGUGCAUGGGAAACCUCCAAACGUGAGUACGAAAGGGGAUCGCGGAAUUCCCGGGGUAGAGGUGAAAUGCGUAGAUAUCGGGAGGAAGACCAGUGGCGAAGGCGGCGAUCUGGGUCGAUACUGACGCUGAGGUGCGAAAGCGUGGGGAGCAAACAGGAUUAGAUACCCGUGUAGUC